ensembl:miRNA
GAGCCGCUGAGUGGCGGCAGCGGCCCCAGGACCGGGUUUCCUCAGACAAGAGGGCGGGUGGAGGAGGAAGCGG